AAGGGGCGGCGCGUUAUCGGUGCCCGUGGGCGUAUCUCGCCCUCGGCUUAAACGGGAAACAGGUGCGCGGCUUGUCGUCAGGACAAGGCCGCAAUGCCUGUGCUGCCCCCGCAACGGUAAGUGCGCGCAAGGCGAGUCAUGCUGCCACUGGGAAUUUUCCUGGGAAGGCGACCCGCCCGUGCGGCCCUCGGGCCGACACAGCGCACCAGCCCGGAGACCGGCCGUAACGCGAAAUGGCGG
rnacentral:ncRNA from 2 species